GGGGGAUAGCCCGGCGAAAGCUGGGGUAAACCCGCAUAGUCUUCGUUGAUGGCAUCAUCUGAGGGAGUAAAGGCUUCGGCUGGUUUGGGAGGGAUUUGCGUCUGAUUAGCUAGUUGGGGGGGUAGUGGCCCACCAAGGCGAUGAUCAGUCGGGGCUCUGAGAGGAGGGUCCCCCACAUGGGCACUGAGACACGGGCCCAACUCCUACGGGAGGCAGCAGUAGGGAAUAUUGGGCAAUGGACUGACGUCUGACCCAGCCAUGCCGCGUGGAGGAAGACGGCCCUCUGGGUUGUAAACUCCUUUUAUCAGGGAAGAAGAGCACUGAUGCGUCAGUGUGUGACGGUACCUGAGGAAUCA
rnacentral:rRNA from 1 species